rnacentral:rRNA from 1 species
UGCCAGCAGCCGCGGUAAUACGGAGGGUGCAAGCGUUGUUCGGAAUUACUGGGCGUAAAGCGCGUGUAGGCGGCUAGGUAAGUCGGAUGUGAAAGCCCGGGGCUCAACCCCGGAACUGCAUCCGAAACUGCUUGGCUAGAGUCCCGGAGAGGAAGGCAGAAUUCCCAGUGUAGGGGUGAAAUCCGUAGAUAUUGGGAGGAAUACCAGUGGCGAAGGCGGCCUUCUGGACGGUGACUGACGCUCAGACGCGAAAGCGUGGGUAGCAAACAGGAUUAGAUA